rnacentral:lncRNA from 1 species
CCUGGAUGGAAAUGCAAGCCUUGCUGAAAUCUCUGAGCUCAUCUCAAGCACAGAUCGGACCCUGAAUGCAUGUGGGAAGGAGCUGGAUGAGUAAAGAGAUAUUUUCAGCUUGAUCCACUCAAAACACUGACAGAAGUGACAAUCACCAUUACUCUGCAGUAGUUGGUAUUAUACUGAGAAGCUGGAUAACUUGGGUGAGGUUCUAAAAGAACCAGUGGAGAAAUGGAUGCAUGAAAUAAAUGAGCUCUCCCAGGGUAUCACAGAGAGGUCCUAUUUGGAGGUCCUGGUUUCUCACCCUGAAAGCCAUCUCCUGACUCUGCAUCUUCCACGUGGGCACUUCUGGUAACGUUGUCAUUUUUGCAGCAGUUCCCUGUUUGAUAUUAACUAUGCUGUCCUCACUUCUUUGCAAGGCAAACACGGUUUUUGCUCUGCGACGGAUGACUUUAAAAAUACAAGUGGACAGGCAUUUUUAAUUAAAGUCGA